GUAUGUGAUCGUCUCUCGCAUAUCAAUAAGCGGAGGAAAAGAAACUAACAAGGAUUCCCCUAGUAACGGCGAGUGAAGCGGGAAGAGCUCAAAUUUGAAAUCUGAAAGGGUUUCCCUUUACGAAUUGUAGUUUAAAGAAGUGUUUUCUGUUGAGGUUUUGGUAAAAGUUCUUUGGAAUAGGACAUCAUAGAGGGUGAGAAUCCCGUAUUUGACCUUUACUUUCAACUUUGUGAUACACUUUCAAAGAGUCGGAUUGUUCGGGAAUGCAGUCCAAAAUGGGUGGUAAAUUUCAUCUAAAGCUAAAUAUUGGCGAGAGACCGAUAGCGAACAAGUACCGUGAGGGAAAGAUGAAAAGAACUUUGAAAAGAGAGUUAAACAGUACGUGAAAUUGUCAAAAGGGAAGCGUUUGACACCAGUGUUGUUUUUCUGAAAAUCAAUUAAAGAACUGUUUAUGCUAAGCUGUUUAGACUUUAUCAGCUAAUCUGUUUAGUUUUGAGCUUUUCUUUAAUGCACUUUUCAGUUAACAAGUCAACAUCAAUUUCUUUUGCUGUAAAAAAGCUUGAGGAAGGUGGCUUGAGAUUCGUCUUAAGUGUUUAUAGCCUCUUGCCUAUGCAGUCGGAGAGAUUGAGGUCUGCAGCGUAGAUCCUUCGGGGCUAAAUGCAUUUGUGCUAAGUUAUAGCAUUUUAUAGACAACUUGUUGACUAUGAUUUGUCUUGUAGCUUACUCGCUUAUGUUAUUUUACCUACGCUUAGGAUGUUGAUAUCGCGCUCUCACUG
rnacentral:rRNA from 1 species